rnacentral:rRNA from 1 species
UGAGGAAUAUUGGUCAAUGGACGAGAGUCUGAACCAGCCAAGUAGCGUGCAGGAUGACGGCCCUAUGGGUUGUAAACUGCUUUUGUUUGGGAAUAAUCGACAUUACGUGUAAUGUUUUGCAUGUACCAUUCGAAUAAGGACCGGCUAAUUCCGUGCCAGCAGCCGCGGUAAUACGGAAGGUCCAGGCGUUAUCCGGAUUUAUUGGGUUUAAAGGGAGUGUAGGCGGUUGGUUAAGCGUGUUGUGAAAUGUAGAUGCUCAACAUCUGACUUGCAGCGCGAACUGGCUGACUUGAGUACACACAACGUAGGCGGAAUUCAUGGUGUAGCGGUGAAAUGCUUAGAUAUCAUGAAGAACUCCGAUUGCGCAGGCAGCUUACUGUAGCAUAACUGACGCUGAUGCUCGAAAGUGCGGGUAUCAAACAGG